UGCUCAUGAUGAACGCUGGCGGCGUGCGUAAUACAUGCAAGUCGAACGCACUAGUUUACUAGUGAGUGGCGAACGGGUGAGUAACACGUAGGUAACCUGCCCUUAAGACGAGGAUAACCAUUGGAAACGAUGGCUAAGACUGGAUAGGAAUAUUUGAGGCAUCUUAAAUAUUUUAAAAGACCUAGCAAUAGGUAUGCUUAAGGAGGGGCCUGCGGCGCAUUAGUUAGUUGGUGAGGUGAGAGCUCACCAAGACGAUGAUGCGUAGCCGGACUGAGAGGUUGAACGGCCACAUUGGGACUGAGAAACGGCCCAAACUCCUACGGGAGGCAGCAGUAGGGAAUUUUCGGCAAUGGAGGAAACUCUGACCGAGCAACGCCGCGUGAAUGACGAAGUACUUCGGUAUGUAAAGUUCUUUUAUCAGGGAAGAAUGGGCAGUGGAAAAACUGUUUUGACGGUACCUGAUGAAUAAGCCCCGGCUAACUAUGUGCCAGCAGCCGCGGUAAUACAUAGGGGGCAAGCGUUAUCCGGAAUUAUUGGGCGUAAAGGGUGCGUAGGCGGUUAUUUAAGUCUUUGGUGUAAGUGCAAGGCUCAACCUUGUGAUGCUAAGGAAACUGGAUAACUUGAGUGUGAUAGAGGUAAGUGGAAUUCCAUGUGUAGCGGUAAAAUGCGUAAAUAUAUGGAGGAACACCAGUGGCGAAGGCGGCUUACUGGGUCACAACUGACGCUGAGGCACGAAAGCGUGGGGAGCAAACAGGAUUAGAUACCCUGGUAGUCCACGCCGUAAACGAUGAGUACUAAGUGUUGGAGAAAUUCAGUGCUGUAGUUAACGCAAUAAGUACUCCGCCUGA
rnacentral:rRNA from 1 species